CUUCAUCAGGAAUGUUCCUCAGCUCAUCAAACUCGGUCUCCCCUGAAAAAGUGCCAACCAACAAUAAAGAAAAAAUGUCCAGCCAUUUAAAAAUUUUAAAUGUAAAUAAAACGCAACCGCCAUUGUCAGUGCCGCUAUGAUUGACAACGUCAGUAAUCACCAAAUAUUUUUUAGUUUAUUUUUAUUGACAAUAUUGCAUUUUGAUAAUUAAGGUAAGGAAUGAGGAAUUUUUAUAGUUUUAAACUUACAAUCGUUGCUUUGGAAUGAAUUAGCUUGGGACAUUUCUUAAUAAGUGUCUUGGGUCUCGCUUUUUCCCUCAGAUCUUUUUAGCGUUGUACUUCAUAGAGAUGACAGUGACAUGCAAUACACCGGGCUAUAUAUUUGACAUAUUUUUUAGUUCCACAUUCGCGACAGUAGCGACAGUUUAUUAAAAACCGCUGAUUCCGGUUAAAAUACACUUCCUGCCCGGAGAUAGCGUUUAUUUCACCCCGGAAAUUAUAUAUGAGUCUUAACUCGGCUGUGAAACGUAAAGACGCUUUAAUGCGUCUAGUCGUGUUAAUUAUUUUAACUGGAAGGUUUUAAUUAUAACUGACCCGAUAAUUACAAGAGACAUCACAGACGGGUAAUUAACAUUGAUACGCUUAAUCCUGACAAUUGC